AAAAAGAAGAAAAGAAGAAAAA
rnacentral:sRNA from 1 species